AUCUUGCCUUCACAACAAUACGUUCAAGAAGCAGUCUUUCAAUGGUCUAAGGAUAUUCCAAUCUCGUUGAUUCCAAUCUAUGUUAACAUUUAUUUAUAUAUACUCGAAUGUUUUCUACAAUAAUUUUAUUGAAUUAUAUUUCAACAAAUCUAACUCAUAAUCUUAUUCGGUAAAAUGUUUUCGAUAUAUGUCUUAGUAUUUUAGUGCAAUGGCUUCUGUUGUAUGGAAAUAUUGUUUGGUUUCAUGAAACCUACCAAUACUAGUUUUUAACAAUUGACAGGUUUUUAUUUUUUAUACUGUCACAAUAAAAGUAUAGUUUAAUUAUAUUUUAUGAAAUGUUCAAACAGAAGAAGUUAAUAACGUUUGGUAAAAUAUGUGCAAAGUUGGAAAGUGUCCCGCAGAACCCUAGGAUAGAUGAGAUUACUUCUAAGGAUACGAACUUCACAACAGGGUUUGGGACAUUCGGUAAAGAACUCUCUAAGUCUGCUACAAAAAAUGCCUGCGAAGAUGAGCCUACGGAAACCGAUUCAGAAAGUGCUAACAUGGAAAGUAUCAUGGGUUUUGAUGGAUUCGGUAAGAAAGCUAAACAGUUUAACAUUGAAGAAAUGGUAGAAAGAGCUGCAAAAACCGCUAGAGAAAACAAAGCGACUGUAGAAUCAGCAGUUCAAAAGUUGCAGCCAUUGUCACUUGAUAACUUAAACUCUGGUGAUCCAGAGGAUAAUAGCAGUGAUGAUGAUAUCAUAGGUCCACCAGUUCCUAAACAAAUAUUGGAACCGAAACAGAAAAAUUUGAGAGAAUCAGUUGAAGAUGAAGUUGCAGCUGGUAAUUCAGAAGAUAGUGAUGCAAGUGACGAUGAAAAGCUACACAAUAGAAUACCAGCAAGUCAUGAGAUAUCACUCCUACAUGGCUCCAAAGCAGUGGUUGCUGUAGCAACAGACCCAGCUGGUGCACGUCUAGCCACUGGUUCUGUGGACUAUGAGGUAAGGUUUUGGGAUUUUGCAGGCAUGGACGCCACGUUGCAAAGUUUCCGCACACUGCAGCCCUGCGAGAAUCAUCCAGUAAGAGCACUUCAGUACUCUACUACUGGUGAUGUUAUAUUGGUAAUUUCUGGGGCUGCACAAGCCAAAGUUCUGGAUCGUGAUGGCUUUGAAGUGGCAGAAUGCGUGAAAGGUGACCAGUACAUCACAGAUAUGGCGAGGACAAAAGGUCAUGUUGCACCAUUGAACAGUGGCUGCUGGCACCCGAGAGCGCGUAACGAGUUCCUCACGUGUUCGCAGGAUAGCACGUGCCGUUUGUGGGACGUGGAGAAGCCGAUGCAUCACAAGGCCCUGAUGAAGUGCAGGGCCCAGAAUGGUUUAAAGACUGAACCGACUGCAUGCAGCUACAGCAGGGAUGGCAACCUGGUGGCUUGUGCUUGCGUGGAUGGCUCGAUACAGAUGUGGGAUCAUCGCAAAAUGUUUGUGAAUACGGCCAUGCUGUUGCGCAAUGCACACAGCAGUGGCAAUGACGCAUCUUGCCUGGCCUUCUCCUACGUGGGGUCCCUGAUGGCGACACGAAGCUGUGAUGACUCGCUCAAGCUUUGGGAUCUGCGAGCGUUCAAGCAGCCGCUUCUCGUCGCUAAUAACCUUUUCUCUCGUUACACUGCUACUGACUGCAUGUUCAGCCCGGAUGACUCAAUGGUGCUGACAGGAGUGUCUGUGAAGAAGGGUGAAACAGAUGGCAGGAUCAUAUUUUACGAUACCAAAACUUUUGACGUCGUGGAUGAAUUCACGGUUUGUGAUUCUCACGUGAUAAAAACGCAAUGGCACCCGAAGUUGAACCAGAUAUUCGUGGGUUGCGGGAACGGCAUGGUGAAGGUGUACUAUGACAACGCACGCAGCCUGCGUGGGGCCAAGCUGUGCGUGGUGAAGACGCGGAGAAAGGUGAAGCAGGUGGAGGUGGUAGCCGGCCAGCAGAUCCUCACCCCGCAUGCGCUGCCCAUGUUCCGUCAGGAGAAGCCCAAGUCUGUGCGCAAGCAGCUGGAGCGGGACCGGCAGGACCCCAUCAAGUCUCGCCGACCGGACCUGCCCAUCUCCUCGGGUCAAGGGGGCCGCGUGGCCUCUUCAGGCGGGACGCUUAGUUCGUACGUGAUUCGAAACCUGGGGCUGAGCAAGCGGGUUGAAGAUGACCAGGACCCCCGCGAAGCCAUCCUGAAGUAUGCCAAAGAGGCUGCGGAAAACCCCUACUGGAUAUCUCCGGCAUACUCCAGGACACAGCCGGAGCCUAUAUUCCACAACUCUGCGGAUGAAGAAGAUGACGAUGAUGCCCGACAGCCGAGCGCUAAGAAGCCCAAAGUGUGAAGGCUCAUUUACAAAGUGGGUUACGCCAGAUGUUCUGGCAGCAAUUUGCCAAAGAGUGACACUGCUAACGGCCGCAACAUGCUGACAUCUAGCAUCCUUCAACUCAAACUAACGACGCGUGACCAGCAGGUGUUGCCACCUAUUGCGGAAUGGCGCAACUGUGUGGUGUCCAAUACUACUCGCCGUCCGGUACUACCCGACCUUCCCCUAUACCUACCUUUGAUAAAAAAAAGUAAAAUUAUGAAAUAUUUGAUACUUAAAAUGAUUCAAAUAAAUUAACUGUUACAACAUAUUAUGCAAUAAUAGCUGUGUUCACCAUUAUAUUAUAUUAUUAUUAUAUUUUUGAAAACUUAGAAUUUAGGUUUGCAUCUAUUUACAACUUCUACAAAUAACAUAACACAAUCUCUACUACUCAAUAAUUUUUUUUUAUACCCACAGCUUUGAUGAUCUUUCUGUUCAUUUAAAGCACAUUUUCUUAAUUUUGUUACUUUUUUAUAACUGUAGGAAUGUCUUGUGAGUGAUAAAAUACUUAUUUAUUUAAGUAUUUGACUAGAGCAGUGCUUAAUUUUUAUAAACAAUGUAGGUACUUAUGUAUCUGUUGGGUAAUGUGUGAAUGUGACGUAUGCAGGUGUGUAGUUGUGUCAAAUGCAGACUGUUAUUGAGUUAACUAUAAACCAUGUAAAUAUGCAUCAGGUGCAAAUUAGAUUUUCUUGGAUUGAGAAUAAAACAUUUUGAUGUAAAACACCUA